GGGGACCCCGGAGCUGGGGCCCCGGGUUCGUUGUCUGCGGGGCUGCUUCGAGAACCUAGAUUCGAAAAGAGCUUCCCGAGG
ensembl:misc_RNA